GAUGAACGCUAGCGGCAGGCUUAACACAUGCAAGUCGAGGGGCAGCAUGAAGGUUAGCAAUAACCUUUGAUGGCGACCGGCGCAAGGGUGCGUAACGCGUGAGCAACUUGCCCGUUUCAGGGGGAUAACCGGUGGAAACGCCGACUAAUACCCCAUGGCAUCAGUUGGAGGCAUCUCCUACUGAUUAAAGAAUUUAGGAAACGGAUAGGCUCGCGUGACAUUAGCUAGAUGGCGGGGUAACGGCCCACCAUGGCGACGAUGUCUAGGGGUUCUGAGAGGAAGGUCCCCCACACUGGAACUGAGACACGGUCCAGACUCCUACGGGAGGCAGCAGUGAGGAAUAUUGGUCAAUGGUCUGACGACUGAACCAGCCAUGCCGCGUGAAGGUCACGGCCCUAUGGGUCUUAAACUUCUUUUGUCAGGGAGCAAUAAGUCCCACGUGUGGGAUGAUGAGAGUACCUGACGAAUAAGCAUCGGCUAACUCCGUGCCAGCAGCCGCAGUAACAC
rnacentral:rRNA from 1 species